AUUGAACGCUGGCGGCAUGCCUUACACAUGCAAGUCGAACGGUAACAGGUUAAGCUGACGAGUGGCGAACGGGUGAGUAAUAUAUCGGAACGUGCCCAGUCGUGGGGGAUAACUGCCCGAAAGAGCAGCUAAUACCGCAUACGACCGGAGGGUGAAAGCGGGGGAUCGCAAGACCUCGCGCGAUUGGAGCGGCCGAUAUCAGAUUAGGUAGUUGGUGGGGUAAAGGCCCACCAAGCCAACGAUCUGUAGCUGGUCUGAGAGGACGACCAGCCACACUGGGACUGAGACACGGCCCAGACUCCUACGGGAGGCAGCAGUGGGGAAUUUUGGACAAUGGGCGCAAGCCUGAUCCAGCCAUGCCGCGUGCGGGAAGAAGGCCUUCGGGUUGUAAACCGCUUUUGUCAGGGAAGAAAAGGUUCUGGUUAAUACCUGGGACUCAUGACGGUACCUGAAGAAUAAGCACCGGCUAACUACGUGCCAGCCGCCGCGGUAA
rnacentral:rRNA from 1 species